GCUUUAUUGUUAGUUUUGCCCAGAAUUCCAUUCAUCCUUUCCUCCUUGUGGACAAUGAGAACUGUUGGCUCUGCCCUUGGACAAAUCAAUCAACCCUAGAAACGUGUUUCUCUGUGGCCCAAAUGAUAUGAAGGUUAUGGUGAGAUAUCCUCAAGCAUCCACAACCUCAAGGAUCUUAUUUAUUUCAGGAAAUAAAUAAUAUUGAGGAGAAGAUUUUUCUCUUUUCCUAUUGAGGAGGGUCAUUGAAAGAUGAAACUGCCAGUGGACCUGUGAGCUGGACCUGGGAGAUGGGAUGCUCCUCCCCCCUCCCCUGUUCUUGAAAUAUGGGUUCCACUUGCCUUUCUGGAUCCCAGAGGCUGCUGCAAGGACAUAGUCUUAAGAUAAUGAUGUGAUGUUGGGAACACCUGCACGGUGUAUGUGACUGAACUCUGUUAAUGCCUCUUGAUAAACUUUUAGGAUUUGGCAGGUGGGUGCGGGAUCCAUUCAUUUUGUGCCACACAGCACAAGCCUGGGUGUAAGUUCCAUUGGCUAUUAUUAAAACUACCACCUUACCAACCUGGA